AUGUCUAAUUUAGUUUUAAGUCGUGAAUUGCUAUCGUACUGUAAACAAAACAUUGUCAAAGACUCUCAUUGUUUGGAAAGAUAUUAGUACACCUAGGAGUUGUCAGUUGCUAGUUCGGAUAUGCAGUGCGGUUAGCUCUGAGAGUCAGUUGUUGAGUCUGUGAAGUUUGUCAGUUCUGUUUGUAAAUAAACGUCUGUAAUGAAGAAUUACUUGUUGUCGUCAAUAUGAACUCAAGACCUUUUGCACGAAGCAGACACCUCCUAAUGCAACGUUUUAAUUUGGUGUUGAGGAGCUGAAAUGUUAUAAGAGGUUUUGGCACCAGUAUUUAUCUUUGUGCCUGCAGAGCAUGCCUGUGUCGCGCUACAUAUAUUCGACGGCAGAAGUUAGUUGUGGCGGCACCUACCAACGUUUUUCAGAACUUCCGCUUACUUUGCAAUCGAUUCUAAGCCGCAGACAGUUUUUUGGAUUACAAAAACCGGGAAAAAGGCGGCGGCGCUCCAUCUCACCCUCAUGGAUGGUCUGCUGCAGGCGGCGCACCUCCUGGUUCAGAGCCACCACCUCCUGCCGACUCGCUGACAGAGUCUCCCGUGUCUGCUGUAGCUCUGCCCUAAGUGCCUCCCGUUCCUUCUGGACUUUCAGCAAUGCUACAAAAAGGUGAGAGCUAUGGGAAGGAUGUGGCCCCCUCGUCCCCCAGAUAUGGGCACCCUUAACUACAGGAGUACAUUAUCAAUAUCUGCAAGAGCAUCCAUGACCAACAUGGAGUUUUUUUUUUUUAGAGAGAGCCUCAUUAUGCGAGACAACCGGCAGAAGCAAGCUUUGCCGUUAAUGGACACCACAUUGGGCACCUCCUAUAGUGGUGACUCACAAGUGCAGGAAACUGCUAUGGAGGAAGUGAGAUCUUUGACUGGUUGUAACAACGAAUGGUGGCAUGAAAGUAGGGAGGGAUGCGCACAGAGAGUGUGGUGGAUGAGGGAGGGCAGUGUGGCUCUCCAGUGCAAAGCAGAUGUGGUCAGUUGUACCAAGUUGCCACAUGAUGUAUGUCAGUUGUGCGUAACAAGUGGGUCGAGUUGACGGAAUAGCUCCCCGCGUUUUGGUUGUAUACAGAAUCGCCCCACGAGGAAAUGCUGUUCAUUUCGUCUUGGUGGGAUGUUAACUAGCUUCUUUACAUCCUCCGUUUCAACACUGGAGUUUAAAAGGAGACACCUAACAUGAAAGAGCAGUCACUAUGCAUCAACGUUGCAGAGAAGACGUGAACUCCGGUGACAGAGUCUGUUGUCAAGUGACCGUGGCGUGUUGGGUACACUGGCGACGGGUGCACAUUUGGAUGUGUGGAUCCUUGCCAUCGGUUGUGUACUGCCUGUUCGAGCAUAAUUGCAAGUUAAGUUCAUGGAAGGUUUAAUCAUUAAAUAUUAAUUUUGUGUAACCAGCGUCUCUUCUGCCAUGUGGCCUCCGACAACCAGGUUUCCUGUCCCUGGCACCGGUAUAAAUGAAGACAGUGAUCUUUCCUCCUCCUCUCGUUACUGUCCUAUGGGAGGUGUAGUUUUGGAAGUUUAAUUGCUUUGCUAUUCUUUUUUAAAUUCCUCCAAGUUUGUAAAUUCCUUUUAUUGCCACUAAUCAUUUGUUUGCUGUGACCUGUUUAAUUUUUUUAAUGGUGGUGUUGGUAGCUUCACUACCUCACCGUACCUUAUUAACAAAGUUCUGUAUUUACUUUAGUAGCCUAUUUACUAAUUUUCUUUAAUUUUUUUAAGUUGUUGUAUUGCUAUAAAUUACUUGAUUGCCAUUAGGGGCGUGUUUAAAAGGCUGUUUAUUGCCGUACCGCUAGUUUCUGUAAAGUACAAAUAAAACAUUUGUGAAAAUCUCAACUCGACAGUAAACUACUAGAAAUUUGGUUCUAUUUCCCAACUUGUGGUGUAGCUUGUAGUAACUGUAACCACUGUGUGUCCGCUCUGGUAGCAGAGCACGGUUGCGGUCUCUUGGUCAGUUGCUUACUGUCGAGUUCGAGUAAUUGUUUCAUUGUCUGAUAUCUUUGUGCGCUGCAAAAGCUGAUUAGUUUGUUCUGUUUCAGCAUCCUAAUAAUUAUGGAACAGCGAAAGUGCCCUCAAAUAAAAUUUUUGAAGAGGGAACAUUUGUUGUAUGAAUUGGCCAUCCGCCGGUAGCCCACGGAAGGAAAUUUGUCGGAGCUGGCAGCGCGUUUACGGUCUGCACUUUCUUCUCCGGUGGUCAUCAUGCUGGAAGUCAGUGAAGGGCAUUCAAUAAGAGCAACUGUGUCCAGCGCUGUAGUAAAUACUACAGUUUCACCCGAUAACAGGUGGGCUGCAGGUCCGAGUCCUUGUAAUUAUCAUCAUAUUGUUCUUGUUUUAAUUUAUGAUUAUAUAUUGUUAAAUAAACAGAU